rnacentral:rRNA from 1 species
UUCGGAGGUACUCGAGUGGCGAACGGGUGAGUAACACGUGGGCAAUCUGCCCUGCACUUCGGGAUAAGCCUGGGAAACUGGGUCUAAUACCGGAUAGUACAGACCUCAAGACGCAUGUCUUCUGGUGGAAAGCUUUUGCGGUGUGGGAUGGGCCCGCGGCCUAUCAGCUUGUUGGUGGGGUGACGGCCUACCAAGGCGACGACGGGUAGCCGGCCUGAGAGGGUGUCCGGCCACACUGGGACUGAGAUACGGCCCAGACUCCUACGGGAGGCAGCAGUGGGGAAUAUUGCACAAUGGGCGCAAGCCUGAUGCAGCGACGCCGCGUGGGGGAUGACGGCCUUCGGGUUGUAAACCUCUUUCACCAUCGACGAAGGUCCGGGUUUUCUCGGAUUGACGGUAGGUGGAGAAGAAGCACCGGCCAACUACGUGCCAGCAGCCGCGGUAAUACGUAGGGUGCGAGCGUUGUCCGGAAUUACUGGGCGUAAAGAGCUCGUAGGUGGUUUGUCGCGUUGUUCGUGAAAUCUCACGGCUUAACUGUGAGCGUGCGGGCGAUACGGGCAGACUAGAGUACUGCAGGGGAGACUGGAAUUCCUGGUGUAGCGGUGGAAUGCGCAGAUAUCAGGAGGAACACCGGUGGCGAAGGCGGGUCUCUGGGCAGUAACUGACGCUGAGGAGCGAAAGCGUGGGGAGCGAACAGGAUUAGAUACCCUGGUAGUCCACGCCGUAAACGGUGGGUACUAGGUGUGGGUUUCCUUCCUUGGGAUCCGUGCCGUAGCUAACGCAUUAAGUACCCCGCCUGGGGAGUACGGCCGCAAGGCUAAAACUCAAAGGAAUUGACGGGGGCCCGCACAAGCGGCGGAGCAUGUGGAUUAAUUCGAUGCAACGCGAAGAACCUUACCUGGGUUUGACAUGCACAGGACGCGUCUAGAGAUAGGCGUUCCCUUGUGGCCUGUGUGCAGGUGGUGCAUGGCUGUCGUCAGCUCGUGUCGUGAGAUGUUGGGUUAAGUCCCGCAACGAGCGCAACCCUUGUCUCAUGUUGCCAGCGGGUAAUGCCGGGGACUCGUGAGAGACUGCCGGGGUCAACUCGGAGGAAGGUGGGGAUGACGUCAAGUCAUCAUGCCCCUUAUGUCCAGGGCUUCACACAUGCUACAAUGGCCGGUACAAAGGGCUGCGAUGCCGUAAGGUUAAGCGAAUCCUUUUAAAGCCGGUCUCAGUUCGGAUUGGGGUCUGCAACUCGACCCCAUGAAGUCGGAGUCGCAUAGUAAUCGCAGAUCAGCAACGCUGCGGUGAAUACGUUCCCGGGCCUUGUACACACCGCCCGUMACGUCAUGAAAGUCGGUAACACCCGAAGCCA